GAGUUUGAUCGUGGCUCAGAGCGAACGCUGGCGGCGGGCCUAACACAUGCAAGUCGCACGAGAACGGUGGGCUUCGGCCUACCUAGUAAAGUGGCGCACGGGUGAGUAACGCGUGGGUAAUCUGCCCCCGGGUUGGGGAUAACGUUCCGAAAGGGGCGCUAAUACCGAAUAAGACCACGGCCACUGCGGUGGCAGGGGUCAAAGCGGGCCUCUACAUGUAAGCUCGCGCCUGGGGAGGAGCUCGCGUCCCAUUAGCUUGUUGGUGAGGUAACGGCUCACCAAGGCUACGAUGGGUAGCUGGUCUGAGAGGAUGAUCAGCCACACUGGGACUGAAACACGGCCCAGACUCCUACGGGAGGCAGCAGUGAGGAAUCUUGCGCAAUGGGGGAAACCCUGACGCAGCCACGCCGCGU
rnacentral:rRNA from 1 species